rnacentral:tRNA from 1 species
GUUCUUAUAGUUGAAUUUACAACCGUAGCCCUUCACGCAACAAGUUUGAGAUAGCACCUCAAUAAGA